rnacentral:misc_RNA from 1 species
GAAAUGCGAUACGUAAUGUGAAUUGCAAUUUUUAGUGAACCAUCGAAUCUUUGAACGCACAUUGCGCCCUCUGGUAUUCCGGGGGGCAUGCCUGUUCGAGCGUCAUUACAACCCUCAAGCCUCGCUUGGAAUUGGAUCUAUAUCCCUCUUUUGAGUGGGUUGAUCUUAAAGUUAUUGGCGGUGCCCAGUGUAGACUUGGAGCGUAGUAAUCUCGAUACCGCUUUUCACGUCCCUUGGAUGCUUGCUUUGAACCACAAUUUUACCGGUUGACCUCGGAUCAGGUAGGGAUACCCGCUGAACUUAA